GUUUUUCUCUUCUAUUGCUUGUUUUGAGAAUAUUGUUGCACACUCUGUUGGUUUAGUAACUUUAUAAGUUAUAAGUCAAUUUUAAACAGAAGUAAAUGUAGACGUUUAAUCAUUCUUUGUAUAAAAGUUGAGACAGCUGCUGGGGAGCAUUUCUAAUUGAGGUCUUUUCUGUGCCCGACAACACCAACCAAUGAGACGCAGCGUGCGCCUUCCAGCUCCUACAGGUUGCAGGGAACGUGAUGUUGUUGGCCGUCUGUGUUGCCAGUAGACAUAGAGGAGCAGAGAGAGAGAUGCGGACGACCUCAAAUUGGGCCGCUUUAAUUCAGGCAACCAGAUGGCAGCUACAGUGGAGGAGUGGUUGGUGGACAUGCUUUCCAGAAGAUCCCUGCUAUGAUCCCAACUGAUUCUGCUCUGAUGGAGGUUUCCUCCUCUUUGAAUUCACUGAACGGCCCCAGAAGCAACACAGAUAUACGGUGGAGCUUUCCUGAGAUGAGGACGUACAGUAAAAGAGAAGGUAACAUGAGCGCCAGGUCUGUGAUAUUACAGUGAAUGUACACAACCUGCCCUCUGACCUGCAGCACUCGCUGCUCCCUCACUCCACUUCUGAUUUUUCCAUCUUAUUCUAUCUUAAUGGAAUUACAGGAUAUUCAGAAUGAACUGCCAUGACCUUUUAUGAGCUCAUCAAAUUGUUUCAAAAUGCUGCUAUUAUUUAAAAUAUGUUGGCAUUUUGUCAGUUCCUAAAAAUACACGUAGUGGAAACGUGCAGUAAAUGACAGUAAAUGGGGAAACAUUAUGUGGGCAAAUGUAGUUCCUGAUAACAAUGCAUAUGUGUCUGAGCUGCAGGAAAUUCCGUGUCAUCCGUGUCUAUGGGUUAAUUCCCUUUCACAAUAACUGUCCCCCGGUCACUGAUGUUAGACCAUUACUCACAGUGUACUGUUUGUAUGUUGAGGAAUGAGCUAAACACCAAAGUAUAUUGUAACACAGAGCAUGCAGGAAUUUCCUAUUGAAAAAGUGAAUGUAAUGCAAAAUAUAAAAUACAUAAGCUUCAGACCUGUUCUAAUGAGGAGACAUAAGGAACUGUAAAGUAUUAAUCUCCAACUAACAACUCGCAGAUCAACAUUUAAGAUCACUUAAAGGAGGAAUUUAAUAAAACGUGGUUUAUGUCA